rnacentral:rRNA from 1 species
UAACCUGCCAAGAGAUCGGGAUAACACCUGGAAACAGAUGCUAAUACCGGAUAACAACAGAUGAUGCCUAUCAACUGUUUAAAAGAUGGUUCUGCUAUCACUCUUGGAUGGACCUGCGGUGCAUUAGCUAGUUGGUAGGGUAACGGCCUACCAAGGCGAUGAUGCAUAGCCGAGUUGAGAGACUGAUCGGCCACAUUGGGACUGAGACACGGCCCAAACUCCUACGGGAGGCAGCAGCU